AAGAGUUGCAAAAACUCCCACAAACCAUCGCGAAAACGUUACACACAAUAAGUUGCCUUCGGCGCGCCGCUCCCCCGGGUCACACCGGGGGCGCGCCCGGAGAGUGGGCCGUAAUACAAACUCUUAUUAUAAACCAGUUUACAUCUGAGUACUAUACUUAAUAAGUAAA
rnacentral:misc_RNA from 1 species